rnacentral:rRNA from 1 species
AGCUUGCUCCCGGAUGUUAGCGGCGGACGGGUGAGUAACACGUGGGUAACCUGCCUGUAAGACUGGGAUAACUCCGGGAAACCGGAGCUAAUACCGGAUAGUUCCUUGAACCGCAUGGUUCAAGGAUGAAAGACGGUUUCGGCUGUCACUUACAGAUGGACCCGCGGCGCAUUAGCUAGUUGGUGGGGUAAUGGCUCACCAAGGCGACGAUGCGUAGCCGACCUGAGAGGGUGAUCGGCCACACUGGGACUGAGACACGGCCCAGACUCCUACGGGAGGCAGCAGUAGGGAAUCUUCCGCAAUGGACGAAAGUCUGACGGAGCAACGCCGCGUGAGUGAUGAAGGUUUUCGGAUCGUAAAGCUCUGUUGUUAGGGAAGAACAAGUGCGAGAGUAACUGCUCGCACCUUGACGGUACCUAACCAGAAAGCCACGGCUAACUACGUGCCAGCAGCCGCGGUAAUACGUAGGUGGCAAGCGUUGUCCGGAAUUAUUGGGCGUAAAGGGCUCGCAGGCGGUUUCUUAAGUCUGAUGUGAAAGCCCCCGGCUCAACCGGGGAGGGUCAUUGGAAACUGGGAAACUUGAGUGCAGAAGAGGAGAGUGGAAUUCCACGUGUAGCGGUGAAAUGCGUAGAGAUGUGGAGGAACACCAGUGGCGAAGGCGACUCUCUGGUCUGUAACUGACGCUGAGGAGCGAAAGCGUGGGGAGCGAACAGGAUUAGAUACCCUGGUAGUCCACGCCGUAAACGAUGAGUGCUAAGUGUUAGGGGGUUUCCGCCCCUUAGUGCUGCAGCUAACGCAUUAAGCACUCCGCCUGGGGGAGUACGGUCGCAAGACUGAAACUCAAAGGAAUUGACGGGGGCCCGCACAAGCGGUGGAGCAUGUGGGUUUAAUUCGAAGCAACCCCGAAAAACCUUACCAGGGCUUGACAUCCUCCUGACAACCCCUAGAAGAAAGGGGUUUUCCCUUCCGGGGACAGAGUGACAGGUGGUGCAUGGUUGUCGUCAGCUCGUGUCGUGAGAUGUUGGGUUAAGUCCCGCAACGAGCGCAACCCUUGAUCUUAGUUGCCAGCAUUUAGUUGGGCACUCUAAGGUGACUGCCGGUGACAAACCGGAGGAAGGUGGGGAUGACGUCAAAUCAUCA